rnacentral:rRNA from 1 species
GUGGGGAAUCUUCCGCAAUGGACGAAAGUCUGACGGAGCAACGCCGCGUGAGUGAUGAAGGUCUUCGGAUUGUAAAGCUCUGUUAAUCGGGACGAAAGAGCCUAGUGUGAAUAAUGCUAGGAAGUGACGGUACCGGAAUAGAAAGCCACGGCUAACUACGUGCCAGCAGCCGCGGUAAUACGUAGGUGGCAAGCGUUGUCCGGAAUUAUUGGGCGUAAAGCGCGCGCAGGCGGAUCUGCCAGUCUGUCUUAAAAGUUCGGGGCUUAACCCCGGGAUGGGAUGGAAACUACAGAUCUAGAGUAUCGGAGAAGAAAGUGGAUUUCCUAGUGUAGCGGUGAAAUGCGUAGAUAUUAGGAAGAACACCAGUGGCGAAGGCGACUUUCUGGACGAAAACUGACGCUGAGGCGCGAAAGCCAGGGGAGCGAACGGGAUUAGAUACCCGAGUAGUCC